CUCUAACCCUCUGUAACACCAGUGUUUUUCCUGUCCUAAUACAUUCUGUAUAUUACUUUCAGACUUAAUUUCUUAAAAUACUAUCUCAUCACUUAGGAAGAGAACUGCAUGUAUACAGGUCAAUUUUGUUUACUUAAAGUCUCCGUAUCCAAAUUUAAAAUCUAGCCCUAUCCUCCCUAUCCACUCAUUCAUCCAUCUCCUCAGUCAGCAAGUCUUCAAAUUGUGACUGAGGGAUAGUAAUCUUCACUAGUUUGUCUCUUCUCAUAAGAAGGAGAAUUAGAGGGUUAAUACUGACUGCCAAAGUAAGAACAGUGUGAACCAGCAGCUUCACAAUACAUUUGUUAAGUAAAGUAAUACCUUAGAUAGACCAGUGCUGACACUGCUUAGAAAAGGGCACUGCUGACCUGGGACUGGCUACUUGGUGCAGUCAGAAGCUUGCGCAGUGGAAAAACCACUGGGUAGAUCUUGCAGGACAAAUAACUCAGGCUGUUCUUCUCCAUGACUACGCACAAGCAUGAACCAUGAAUAGCUGAUGAUGACCUCCCUGACAAGCAGCUGCCCAAGUUCACAGCCUCACGUCUGUGCUGUCCAGAUCACUGAUGGGAAGGCUUGGCCGUGAAUGUUUUAAACCCUUGAUGUACUGGGGGAAAAUUACAUAUGAAGCAAUGGUACUACUUUCUUAUUUGCCAGCGAAUUGUGAAGCCAAGAAAGAAGACUAUCAGAAGAAGUCCACAGCUGAGAAAGGUCCAAACAAUACCCAAGAGGACAGGAGAUAAUGAAGAAAUGGUCUUACUGCUAUAGUGGGAAGAGGUCUGAGAACAGAAUAAAGAGAAACUGUUAGGAAUGAAGGCUCUUUUAUAGCUCAAACACGAACUUCCCCCUCAUUCCCAAAGCUGGAGAAUAUGUGUCCUGCAUGAGCAUUUCCUCUCCCUCUUCCUCCUCACUUCCUCCUCCUCCUCCCCCCUAUUUCCUCCUUUUCCUCCUCCUACUCCUCACCCCUACCACUGCACCACCACCACUAACAACAGCAGCAACAACAACAAGGUGCAUAUCUGAGCAUCCCUGACAAUCCAUGGCUGUCAACUCACAAUUGUC